GAAGCAGCGCGGCGAAAGGGCGGUGGAACCAGCCGCCGCCGCCGCCGCUGAGGCUGCUGGGAGUUGUAGUCCCCACCCCUCCUCUUCGCUCGCAGCCUCCGAAAUGAACCUAAGAAGUCGAUUAACUUGGUCUAAAGCCACACUGCAAAUGAAGACUAACAGAGUUGCAGUUCUGCGUCUCGUCUCGACUCUUACAGGGAAUAUUCCGAUCACCUUCAGAGACAUCCCAGAAUCAGCCUUCUUUGGCCCUGCUAGGCAGCUGGAGUUGAAAACCCUGGGAUCGGCUUACUUGGGAGGGAAUGUCUGAGCUCAUUUUGGAUCCCUUAUCGGCCUGUCCCUGGGACUUGCGGUUCUGCUGGCUCUGAGUGAAUUCCCUGACUGGAUAAGAUUAUAAUCAUUAUUGUUCAAGGGUUGCAUCUAGAGAUAGUGC